CCGGGGGAACUGAAACAUCUAAGUACCCCGAGGAAAAGAAAUCAACCGAGAUUCCCCCAGUAGCGGCGAGCGAACGGGGAGGAGCCCAGAACCUGAAUCGGCUUGUGUGUUAGUGGAAGCGUCUGGAAAGUCGCGCAGCAAAGGGUGAUAGCCCCGUACACUAAAAUGCACAGGUCGUGAGUUCGAUGAGUAGGGCGGGACACGUGACAUCCUGUCUGAAUAUGGGGGGACCAUCCUCCAAGGCUAAAUACUCCUGACUGACCGAUAGUGAACCAGU
rnacentral:rRNA from 1 species